CGCUGAAGGCAUCUAAGCGUGAAGCCCCCCCCAAGACGAGGCCUCCCACGCGGAAGCGGUAAGGCCCCCCGUAGAGGACGGGGUAGGUGGGCGCGGAGUGGAAGCGCAGCAAUGCGUGGAGCGGACGCGUACUAAUCGGCCGAGGGCUUACCCAUC
rnacentral:rRNA from 1 species